rnacentral:ncRNA from 1 species
GACCGAAAAGGCAAACUGCCGGUGACGGCAGGACGCAAAACCUCCGGUCUCUGGCGAGAUAGCGGGGUUGCCGAAA